UCCCAGGUAGCUCAAUGGUAGAGCAGCCGGCUGUUAACCGGCGGGUUGUAGGUUCAAAUCCUACCCUGGGAG
rnacentral:tRNA from 1 species